AGUUAAACUCUACUAUNAAGGG
rnacentral:tRNA from 1 species